GUAGGGAAUAUUGCGCAAUGGACGAAAGUCUGACGCAGCGACGCCGCGUGAGUGAUGAAGGCCUUAGGGUCGUAAAGCUCUGUUGAAUGGGAAGAAAAAAAUGACGGUACCAUUCGAGGAAGGACCGGCUAACUUCGUGCCAGCAGCCGCGGUAAUACGAGGGGUCCUAGCGUUGUUCGGAAUCAUUGGGCGUAAAGGGUGUGUAGGUGGCCAUGUAAGUCAGGUGUGAAAGCCCCGGGCUCAACCCGGGAAGUGCACUUGAUACUGCGUGGCUUGAGUACCGAAGAGGGUAGUGGAAUUCAAGGUGUAGUGGUGAAAUACGUAGAUAUCUGGAGGAACACCGGUGGCGAAGGCGGCUACCUGGUCGAGUACUGACACUGAGACACGAAAGCAUGGGGAUCAAACAGGAUUAGAUACCCGAGUAGUCC
rnacentral:rRNA from 1 species